UACGGGGGGGGCAAGCGUUGUCCGGAAUCAUUGGGCGUAAAGCGCGUGUAGGCGGCCCGGUAAGUCCGCUGUGAAAGUCGGGGGCUCAACCCUCGAAUGCCGGUGGAUACUGUCGGGCUAGAGUACGGAAGAGGCGAGUGGAAUUCCUGGUGUAGCGGUGAAAUGCGCAGAUAUCAGGAGGAACACCAAUUGCGAAGGCAGCUCGCUGGGACGUUACUGACGCUGAGACGCGAAAGCGUGGGGAGCAAACAGG
rnacentral:rRNA from 1 species